rnacentral:rRNA from 1 species
UACGUAGGGACCGAGCGUUGUCCGGAAUCAUUGGGCGUAAAGCGCGUGUAGGCGGCUCGGUAAGUCUGCUGUGAAAGUCCAGGGCUCAACCCUGGGAUGCCGGUGGAUACUGUCGAGCUCGAGUCCGGAAGAGGCGAGUGGAAUUCCUGGUGUAGCGGUGAAAUGCGCAGAUAUCAGGAGGAACACCAAUGGCGAAGGCAGCUCGCUGGGACGUGACUGACGCUGAGACGCGAAAGCGUGGGGAGCAAACAGG